GGAUGUGAGGGCGAUCUGGCUGAGACAUCUGUCACCCCAUUGAUCUGUCACCCCAUUGAUCGCCAGAGUUGAUUCGGCUGAUCUGGCUGGCUAGGCAGAUGUCCCCUUCCUCCCUCAAUGCUCCAUUUGCAUCCCUCUCGAAGCUGCAUGCUCGGUCGUAAAGGAUGACCACCCCCGAUAGAGGAUGACCACCUCCAAUAGACAAUCCCAUAGGGAUGAUAGUGUGGGAAUUCCUGUCUGCAGGAAGCAAACAUAAAACUUCACUUAUCAAAUUAUUGUAAUGGUAUACUUCCAAGAAUUAUUU
rnacentral:sRNA from 1 species